rnacentral:lncRNA from 1 species
ACGAGCUCUCCUGACUGUGCUCAUCCCUUCCAGGAGUGCCGGCGCGAUCCGUGCUGCACUGUGGGCUGCAAGACAAGGAAGGGCGUGCAGUGCCUGUCGGGGCCGUGCUGCUCCAGGUGCAGGUUCAAGAAAAAAGGCACCCUGUGCAGAACUAGCUCUGAGGAUGAAUGCGAGCUGAAGGAGUAUUGCAAUGGCACCUCUGGGGCAUGCGCACCCAACCUGUGGGUCAUGGACGGGCAUCCCUGCAGGCAGAACACUGCCUUCUGCUACAGAGGGGUAUGCCAGACCGCUGACAAGCAGUGCCAGGAGAUCUUUGGCAAAGAUGCCAAAAACGGACCCUUGGCCUGCUAUGAGGAAGUCAAUGGCCAAAGGGACAGAAUGGGGCACUGCGGCUCUGAUCACAGAGGUUACCACAGCU